UAUAAAUAAAUGUAUGAUGCAUUAAGAAUUUUGAUUUCUUUAGGCUUGGUUUAAACCCAAGAUUUAUAA
rnacentral:tRNA from 1 species